UGAAGACCUUCGGGUUGUAAAGCUCUGUCUUUGGGGACGAUAAUGACGGUACCCAAGGAGGAAGCCACGGCUAACUACGUGCCAGCAGCCGCGGUAAUACGUAGGUGGCAAGCGUUGUCCGGAUUUACUGGGCGUAAAGGAUGCGUAGGCGGACUUUUAAGUGAGAUGUGAAAUUCCCGGGCUUAACUUGGGAGCUGCAUUUCAAACUGGGAGUCUAGAGUGCGGGAGAGGAAAGUGGAAUUCCUAGUGUAGCGGUGAAAUGCGUAGAGAUUAGGAAGAACACCAGUGGCGAAGGCGACUUUCUGGACCUGUAACUGACGCUGAGGCAUGAAAGCGUGGGUAGCAAACAGGAUUAGAUACCCUGGUAGUCCACGCCGUAAACGAUGAGUACUAGGUGUAGGAGGUAUCGACCCCUUCUGUGCCGCAGUUAACACAAUAAGUACUCCGCCUGGGAAGUACGAUCGCAAGAUUA
rnacentral:rRNA from 2 species